ACACAGAAUGUUUUUCCUAACAGGUCUUGGUAUCUUGAUGGACAGACACUACUACUCAUCAUCUGUGUUGGCAUUGUGUUUCCGCUUUCACUGCUUCCCAAAAUAGGCUUUCUUGGCUACACAAGCAGUUUAUCAUUUUUCUUUAUGGUGUUCUUUGCUCUUGUGGUAAGUUUAAAAUAUAAUACAUUGCUUAUUCCAUCGCAAAACUGCAACUGUAUUAAUCACAUCUUUUAACGGCUUUGUGCUGGGCACAGUAGCCCAUUUUAUAUUCUUAAAAGCACUGUUCUUUGUUUUGUUUUGUUUUUUUUUUUUUUGCAAACAAUUUCGGUCAUAGGAUUAUUCAUUUUGUCCAUUUUAAAAAAGCUUAAAA